GGCGUGCUUACACAUGCAAGUCGAGUGCGCGGUUGUAGCAAUACAACUGGCGCACGGCGCACGGGUGCGUAACACGUGGGCAAUCUGCCCUCCGAUGGGGAAUAACUCCGGGAAACCGAAGCUAAUUCCGCAUAACAUUCCCUGGACUCCGGUUUGGGGAAUCAAAGCAGUGAUGCGUCGGAGGAGGAGCCCGCGCCCGAUUAGCUAGUUGGCAGGGUAACGGCCUACCAAGGCAAUGAUCGGUAGCUGGUCUGAGAGGAUGGCCAGCCACACUGGGACUGAGACACGGUCCAGACUCCUACGGGAGGCAGCAGUGGGGAAUCUUGCGCAAUGGGCGAAAGCCUGACGCAGCGACGCCGCGUGGGGGAUGAAGCUUCUCGGAGUGUAAACCCCUUUCGACUGGGACGAAUGCCCGCAAGGGAGUGACGGUACCAGUAGAAGAAGCCCCGGCUAACUACGUGCCAGCAGCCGCGGUAAGACGUAGGGGGCCAGCGUUGUUCGGAAUUACUGGGUGUUAAGGGUUCGUACGCGGUGUGGCAAGUCGGGAGUGAAAUUUCUG
rnacentral:rRNA from 1 species